GAUGAACGCUGGCGGCGUGCUUAACACAUGCAAGUCGAACGGUGAAGCAGGAGCUUGCUCUUGUGGAUCAGUGGCGAACAGGUGAGUAACACGUGAGCAACCUGCCCCUGACUCUGGGAUAAGCGCUGGAAACGGCGUCCAAUACUGGAUAUGUGAUGUGACCGCAUGGUCUGCAUCUGGAAAGAAUUUCGGUUGGGGAUGGGCUGGCGGCCUAUCAGCUUGUUGGUGAGGGAAUGGCUCACCAAGGCGUCGACGGGUAGCCGGCGUGAGAGGGUGACCGGCCACACUGGGACUGAGACACGGCCCAGACUCCUACGGGAGGCAGCAGUGGGGAAUAUUGCACAAUGGGCGGAAGCCUGAUGCAGCAACGCCGCGUGAGGGAUGACGGCCUCCGGGUUGUAAACCUCUUUUAGCAGGGAAGAAGCGAAAGUGACGGUACCUGCAGAAAAAGCACCGGCUAACUACGUGCCAGCAGCCGCCGUAA
rnacentral:rRNA from 1 species